AAGUCGUAACAAGGUUUCCGUAGGUGAACCUGCGGAAGGAUCAUUAAACAUAUUACGGGGGGCCGGACCCAAGGUGCGUGGAUUUCCAUGUGCUUUGACCCGCCCUGUCUGAAUAUUCUACCCAUGUCUUUUGCGUACUAUUCGUUUCCUCGGUGGGCUUGCCUGCCGAUAGGACACUAUAAACCUUUUGUAAUUGCAGUCAGCGUCAGAAAUAAUUUAAUAAUUAAA
rnacentral:misc_RNA from 1 species